GACGAACGCUGGCGGCGUGCUUAACACAUGCAAGUCGAACGGAAAGGCCCUGCUUGCAGGGUACUCGAGUGGCGAACGGGUGAGUAACACGUGGGUGAUCUGCCCUGCACUUCGGGAUAAGCCUGGGAAACUGGGUCUAAUACCGGAGAGGAGCCAUUUUUAGUGUGAUGGUUGGAAAGUUUUUUCGGUGUAGGAUGAGCUCGCGGCCUAUCAGGUUGUUGGUGGGGUAAUGGCCUACCAAGGCGGCGACGGGUAGCCGGCCUGAGAGGGUGGACGGCCACAUUGGGACUGGGAUACGGCCCAGACUCCUACGGGAGGCAGCAGUGGGGAAUAUUGCACAAUGGGCGCGAGCCUGAUGCAGCGACGCCGCGGGGGGGAGGACGGCCUUCGGGUUGUAAACUCCUUUCGCUAGGGACGAAGCUUUUUGUGACGGUACCUAGAUAAGAAGCACCGGCUAACUACGUG
rnacentral:rRNA from 1 species